ensembl:lncRNA
GUCAUGCAAUAAAAUGCAAAUUAAUUACUUAAAAAUCAUACAAUGUGAUUUUCUGGAUAAUCUUUUAGAUUCCGUCACUCACAUUUGAAGAGUACCUAUGAUAAAAAUCAGACUUCUACAAACUUCUACAUGCUUUGUAAGUGGGAAAACCUGCAAAAUCGUCAGUGUAUUCAAAUACUAGUUCUCCCCACUGUAUAUUUGUCCAGUUUAUUUUUGGUAAUGGUUAUCCUUACGGUUUUCCCAUAUCAUUGGGAAGUUCAUGUGCAUUGUCUGCCUGUUGUUUAGUCAGACAUUUUCUCCCUCAACGUCGCCAAAUCUGUCCCAUUACAUCAUUCUACCAGCACUUCAAAUCAAAAUGAUAUUUAUUGUUCCUGUACUAAUCAAUGUGUAUUGUCAAUAUUCAUGUUGUCAUAAUUAUGGCUGUUAUUCUUAUUUUCUAUUUGAUAUCAGUGAACACGUGUUGCUUUCUAUGAGAGAUGUUGAAGUUGUCACUGAACUGAGGUUUUGUCUUAAAUGUGUGCCUUGUUGUACUGUAGUGGACCACUUUUGACCAGAUCCAAAUGGACACUAGUCAAAAGUAGUGCACUUUGAAGGGAACGAUGUGCCAUUCAGAACAAAGCUGAAGUGAACAUCUCUAACGGGCGAAGAUCUACUAACUGCUUUCAAAACAGCCGGUUUGACAGAAAUCUAUCUGCUAAAUGUAUUUCUGAAAACAGCUGUUGCCAGUUGAAACCUAUUGCUGAAUCCUGUUUCUUAAACUGGCAAAGAUAAUCUACAUUUCUUCGGUUAAUGAGUAGAUGUGAGUGAGAGGUCUAGUCGCGGUGCUAACGCCCUCUUUGUGGUAAGGAAUGACAAACUCAAAUGACAAUCUUACAUCUUAGAUGGCAAUCAGUUGCAAACUUAACAUAAUAAACCCAAUAUUGACUUACCUGUGUUAGGAAUUUAAGUUUACCUCGUUACCAAUUAUCUGAGUAAUAUCCACUUUGAAUAAAUACAAGCUGGCUAAGCUAUCUCAGCUGUGCUAUGGUGACACAAUCAAUUGUUGUAAAUAUUCCUUAAUUUCUUUAACCUUUAUCUUUCCGGUCUAGUCUCUGUGAGAUUAAAUAUCUGUUCUUUCACGAAUCAGCUGGCUAGCUAAAAUCUCAGCGCACAUUUAAUGAAAGAGCCACCUCUUUAAAACCCUUUGUGGCUUGUACUAUCCCUCGUCGGAAUCAAACAGAACAAUGCCUUCGCGCUAGCAUUGCAUUCCCACUCGUCACUCAUACGCCGGCGUAGAUACGCUCAGUGGGAUCACUACACAUCAGCCCGAACACACUACCCUCGCCCAGACCACCCCUUCCUUACCCCACGUGGGACUGAGCGGCCCAAACAAACAGCACGGAUGAGUUCCCGCCCUAACCCAAAUUAGGGCGAGACCAGGGGUCAAGGUAAAUGACGCGUUCUCUCUUCUCAUUGUCUUCCCUGGAACUAAAUAAUUGGUGUCUAGCUGACUUGAGGGUUGAGGAACACACUGUUGAGGUACUGACUCUGAGGAGAUUUAAAAACACACAGGGAAAAAGCCAAGGAAAUAGUGGCUUUGAGGUGCAUUCACUUCUUUUAAUCAGCAAUUGAAAUUGCCAAUUUAAAAUAAAAACUAAAUAAACGUACAGAC